CUUGCUUCUCUUGAGAGCGGCGGACGGGUGAGUAAUGCCUAGGAAUCUGCCUGGUAGUGGGGGAUAACGUUCGGAAACGGACGCUAAUACCGCAUACGUCCUACGGGAGAAAGCAGGGGACCUUCGGGCCUUGCGCUAUCAGAUGAGCCUAGGUCGGAUUAGCUAGUUGGUGAGGUAAUGGCUCACCAAGGCGACGAUCCGUAACUGGUCUGAGAGGAUGAUCAGUCACACUGGAACUGAGACACGGUCCAGACUCCUACGGGAGGCAGCAGUGGGGAAUAUUGGACAAUGGGCGAAAGCCUGAUCCAGCCAUGCCGCGUGUGUGAAGAAGGUCUUCGGAUUGUAAAGCACUUUAAGUUGGGAGGAAGGGUUGUAGAUUAAUACUCUGCAAUUUUGACGUUACCGACAGAAUAAGCACCGGCUAACUCUGUGCCAGCAGCCGCGGUAAUACAGAGGGUGCAAGCGUUAAUCGGAAUUACUGGGCGUAAAGCGCGCGUAGGUGGUUUGUUAAGUUGGAUGUGAAAUCCCCGGGCUCAACCUGGGAACUGCAUUCAAAACUGACUGACUAGAGUAUGGUAGAGGGUGGUGGAAUUUCCUGUGUAGCGGUGAAAUGCGUAGAUAUAGGAAGGAACACCAGUGGCGAAGGCGACCACCUGGACUAAUACUGACACUGAGGUGCGAAAGCGUGGGGAGCAAACAGGAUUAGAUACCCUGGUAGUCCACGCCGUAAACGAUGUCAACUAGCCGUUGGAAGCCUUGAGCUUUUAGUGGCGCAGCUAACGCAUUAAGUUGACCGCCUG
rnacentral:rRNA from 1 species